GAUACUUGAAAAGCUAAGUUGUCUAUUCUUGAGCUAAACAUAACUUUUUUUAUUUUCUUAUUUUGUUAACUUUCUCAAUUUCUAUUUCUAUGUUAGUACUUCUACCUCAUCUCUACCAAACAUUACUUUUGAAGUAACUCUACCAUGCAACUUAAUAAAAUUAAAGAUUAGCUACUAACCCUAUCAUGAAAUUAUUUAGAGUUGAGAUAGAGGUACGGACCUAGGAAAUAGAAAUUGAGAUGGUAAACAAAAUAUAGUUUGAUGAUAGUUAAUUAGAAAUAGAAAAUUUAUAAACUCUAAUUUGUAUAUUUGUGACUAGAUAACCCGGAGUCAUUAAGUGCGGCGGAUGGAGGUUAGCUCUGGAGCGUCUUACUGUGUGUAGUAUAUUACACAUAUAUAUUGGAGCUCGAAGAACAUAAGAUUUGUCUCGGCACAUGUUAAGUUGAUGAACUGAUUAUCAGUUAGAAGCUGAUACUUGAAAAGAUAAGUUGUCUAUUCUUCAGCUAAAUAUAACUUUUUUUUUCUUAUUUUGUUAACUAUCUCAAUUUCUAUUUCUAUGUCAGUACUUCUACCUAAUCUCUGCCAAACAUUACUUUUGAAGUAACUCCACCAUGCAACUUAAUAAAAUUAAAGAUUAGCUACUAACCCUAUCAUGAAAUUAUUUAGAGUUGAGGUAGAGGUACGGACCUAGGAAAUAGA